rnacentral:rRNA from 1 species
UCCUACGGGAGGCAGCAGUGGGGAAUAUUGCACAAUGGGCGCAAGCCUGAUGCAGCCAUGCCGCGUGUGUGAAGAAGGCCUUCGGGUUGUAAAGCACUUUCAGUCGUGAGGAAGGUAGUUACGUUAAUAGCGUAAUUAUUUGACGUUAGCGACAGAAGAAGCACCGGCUAACUCCGUGCCAGCAGCCGCGGUAAUACGGAGGGUGCGAGCGUUAAUCGGAAUUACUGGGCGUAAAGCGCAUGCAGGUGGUUUGUUAAGUCAGAUGUGAAAGCCCGGGGCUCAACCUCGGAAUUGCAUUUGAAACUGGCAGACUAGAGUACUGUAGAGGGGGGUAGAAUUUCAGGUGUAGCGGUGAAAUGCGUAGAGAUCUGAAGGAAUACCGGUGGCGAAGGCGGCCCCCUGGACAGAUACUGACACUCAGAUGCGAAAGCGUGGGGAGCAAACAGGAUUAGAUACCCUGGUAGUCCACGCCGUAAACGAUGUC